rnacentral:rRNA from 1 species
AAAACUUUCAACAACGGAUCUCUUGGUUCUGGCAUCGAUGAAGAACGCAGCGAAAUGCGAUAAGUAAUGUGAAUUGCAGAAUUCAGUGAAUCAUCGAAUCUUUGAACGCACAUUGCGCCCCCUGGUAUUCCGGGGGGCAUGCCUGUUCGAGCGCGCAUUA